GACGAACGCUGGCGGUGUGCUUAACACAUGCAAGUCGAACGGUAAGGCCCUUUCGGGGGUACACGAGUGGCGAACGGGUGAGUAACACGUGAGUAACCUGCCCUCAUCUCUGGGAUAACAGUCGGAAACGGUUGCUAAUACUGGAUAUGAGCUUGCAAGGCAUCUUGUGGGUUGGAAAGAUUUUUUUGGUUGGGGAUGGACUCGCGGCCUAUCAGCUUGUUGGUGAGGUAGUGGCUCACCAAGGCUUCGACGGGUAGCCGGCCUGAGAGGGCGACAGGCCACAUUGGGACUGAGAUACGGCCCAAACUCCUACGGGAGGCAGCAGUGGGGAAUAUUGCACAAUGGACGGAAGUCUGAUGCAGCAACGCCGCGUGCGGGAUGACGGCCUUCGGGUUGUAAACCGCUUUCAAUUGUGACGAAGCUUUUUUGUGACGGUAGCAGUAGAAGAAGCACCGGCUAACUACGUG
rnacentral:rRNA from 1 species